GUGGGUACAGCUCAGUGGUACAGCAUAUGCCUAGAAUGCACAAGGUCCUGGGUUCCAUCUCCAGUACCUCCA
rnacentral:tRNA from 1 species